GUCGACGGUAACAGGGAGAAGCUUGCUUCUUUGCUGACGAGUGGCGGACGGGUGAGUAAUGCUUGGGAAUCUGGCUUAUGGAGGGGGAUAACUACGGGAAACUGUAGCUAAUACCGCGUAAUAUCUUCGGAUUAAAGGGUGGGACUUUCGGGCCACCUGCCAUAAGAUGAGCCCAAGUGGGAUUAGGUAGUUGGUGGGGUAAAGGCCUACCAAGCCGACGAUCUCUAGCUGGUCUGAGAGGAUGACCAGCCACACUGGAACUGAGACACGGUCCAGACUCCUACGGGAGGCAGCAGUGGGGAAUAUUGCACAAUGGGGGGAACCCUGAUGCAGCCAUGCCGCGUGAAUGAAGAAGGCCUUCGGGUUGUAAAGUUCUUUCGGUGAUGAGGAAGGUGUUUGUUUUAAUAGAACAAGCAAUUGACGUUAGUCACAGAAGAAGCACCGGCUAACUCCGUGCCAGCAGCCGCGGUAAUACGGAGGGUGCGAGCGUUAAUCGGAAUGACUGGGCGUAAAGGGCACGCAGGCGGUGACUUAAGUGAGAUGUGAAAGCCCCGGGCUUAACCUGGGAAUUGCAUUUCAUACUGGGUCGCUAGAGUAUUUUAGGGAGGGGUAGAAUUCCACGUGUAGCGGUGAAAUGCGUAGAGAUGUGGAGGAAUACCGAAGGCGAAGGCAGCCCCUUGGGAAUAUACUGACGCUCAUGUGCGAAAGCGUGGGGAGCAA
rnacentral:rRNA from 1 species